AUUGGAAGUGGGCGCAAGCCUGAUCUCAGCCAUGCCGCGUGAGUGAUGAAGGCCCUAGGGUUGUAAAGCUCUUUCACCGGUGAAGAUAAUGACGGUAACCGGUGAAGAAACCCCGGCUAACUUCGUGCCAGCAGCCGCGGUAAUACGAAGGGGGCUAGCGUUGUUCGGAAUUACUGGGCGUAAAGCGCACGUAGGCGGACUAAUAAGUCAGGGGUGAAAUCCCGGGGCUCAACCCCGGAACUGCCUUUGAUACUGGAAGUCUUGAGUACGAUAGAGGUGAGUGGAAUUCCAAGUGUAGAGGUGAAAUUCGUAGAUAUUAGGAGGAACACCAGUGGCGAAGGCGGCUCACUGGAUCAUUACUGACGCUGAGGUGCGAAAGNGUGGGGAGCAAACAGGAUUAGAUACCCUGGUAGUCCAC
rnacentral:rRNA from 1 species